AGAACCCCACCUGACCCACCCACACUGGGGGCUCUGUUCCCACAGCUCUUCAUGAUCUCACGCCUUCUAAAACCUCGCUCAGCUGAUGAAGCUAUUCAUUGAAUCAAUGAAUAUUUACUGAGUACCUACUCUGUGCCAGGCAGUAUUCCAGGGCUUGGAGAGACAUUGCUGAACAAGACAGAUGAGGGCCCUGUCUUCAUGGAGCUCACAGUCUAGUGGGGAAGGCACAGAAUCAAGAAGUGAAUAAGUAACUAAAAACUAAUCACAAAUUGUGGCAAGUGCUGAAGAGGAAAGAAACAGGAUACUCAGCGUUGUGAGUGGAGCAUCUACUUGGAGGGUCUUGGAGGCCCCCCACGUUUAACAGACAGGCCUCCCGUGGGUUGGCGGGCAGUCGGUGGCCAUCUCUUGGGCCUGCAGAUCAUGUUCUAUAUGAACAUCUGCAACCUCAGAGCAGCCGUCUUCCUACCCCGAGUCCCCCUACAUGCUAUCUUUGGAAAGAUAAUGAGUAUCUAUCACAGUCACUGUUUUUCAGCGCUUACUAUGUGCCAGGCAUCUCACUAAGCAAUGGAUGGUCAUGACAUCAUUUCAUCUGCAGAACAAUAAUAACAUUAUGAAGUAGGUGUUCCUAAUCCCCAUUUUACAGACAAGGAAAUGGAGACCUGGAACGUUUGAGCCAUUUGGCCAAGUCACAUGAUGAGCCUGCGGCAGAGCCUCCAGGCCCAUGUUCAAAGGAUGACAUAACUCCCGACUCUUGAUCACCUCUGUGUGUGGAGAGCAAGUCAGGCCUCUCUCCAGCCUCACCCAGGAGUCCCAGAGAGCAGGCUGAGGGCUGGCAGCUGCUGCCCUCAGGGCAGACUCCCGCAGAGCCCCAGUCCUAACCCCGCUUACAGACCAGAUUGUCACUGCUUGCUGAGUCCUCGCUGUGCCCCCGCACUGUGCGCUCCAUGUGCAGGCCCAAGCGAGCAACCCGAUGAAGAGCAUUAUCAACCCCAUUUUACAGAUGAUGGAACUGAGGCUCAGAGAUGUGAUGUCCCUUGUCCAAGGCCACCAGUUAAUAAUUGGGAUUCCGGCCUAGGUCUAUGGACUGUAAACGUGGUGACUGCAAGGUUGCAUAUGUCAGGCAAGGUCCUACCAAAUCCCUUUGCUGCCCCAACUGUGCCCCUACCCACCCCAGGCUUCAAACCAUGUUGAGGGCAGGCCACGCCCAGUGCCUCCAAUGCUCUGAGGAGCUCUGGCAUCUCCAUGGCAACAGGAUCCUGAGCAGCCAGAGCUGAGCUUGCUCUGCGUCUGAGGAGUGGAGGUGGCCUCUGCCUGAAGAGCCCCCCAGGUGUCCCAGGCUCUGACCAAGUGUGACUCAGGGCUACCCCAGGCACCCCUCAGCCUCACAAAGCCCCCCUCCCUUCCCAGACAGACAGAGCACUUCUCCCUCACAGAGCUCUGACAGAAGCAGCCCCAGCCUCCUGGCCUCCUUCACAUAGCUGGUCUGCCAUCUAACCUCCAUGCCUCUUGCUGCGGCUCCAGUCCUUGUCCCUGAGGAAUUCCCCUCCCCCUCCUCCCUUAGCUGCCAUCUGGAGGAGGCAAAGUGGACAUGUGGACUCAGCCCUGGUGACGCCCUGAGGGCCUCCUGUCAAGGUGGCCAUAAUGUCACAAAGACCCCCCUCCUGUAGUGGAAGGGCACCUUUGUCUUUCUGCCACCCCAUUCAUUCAUUCACUCACUCAAUCACUCAGUAACUACUUACUGAGUGUCC
rnacentral:lncRNA from 1 species